GUUAUGAGGGUCAAAAGUCAGAAAUCGUUCCUGCUUGCAGGAAAAGAGUUCUGACUUGUUGACCCGCGCACACAUGAGCACUGUCAUCAAUCUUUGAUUGAUGACCCUGUGAUUUUCCCAGGAAAAUCAACGGAUUGCGAAUGUGUGUAGAAUUGCGGGAGUUGCGGAGCAACGGAGCAAUUCGU
rnacentral:sRNA from 1 species